rnacentral:rRNA from 1 species
GCGGAGGAAAAGAAAAUAACAAUGAUUCCCCCCAGUAACGGCGAGUGAACAGGGAAAAGCUCAAAGUUGGAAUCUCCCAGUUUUAAAUUGGGCGACUUGUAAACUAAAGCUCUCGAGUAGUUCGGCUAGCCUGGUAAACAAGUUCUCUGGAAAGGGACGACAAAGAGGGUGAAAUCCCCGUUUUUGGCCGGAGCAUAGUCUUGCGUUUGCUUGGAAGCGAAGAGUCAGGUUGUUUGGUAUUGCAGCCUAAAGUUGGAGGUAAAUCUCUCCUAAAGCUAAAUAUUGACGAAAGACCGAUAGCGAACAAGUACCGUGAGGGAAAGAUGAAAAGCACCUUGAAAAGGGGGUCAAAAAGUACGUGAAAUUGCUGAAAGGGAACCGUAUGAAAUCAGCCUGUAUCUUUAGUAAUCAGUCUGGGCUUUGGCCUGGAUGCACUUGCUAGUGAUUCAGCUUGCGACAGUUUGAUUUGGGGGAAAAAAUCAAGGAGAAUGUGGCUUUSAUUUCGGUGAAAGUGUUAUAGCUCUUUGAAAAAUACUCUGGAUUGGACUGAGGACUGCAGYGAGCCUUUGGGAUGGACUGUGGGRGCUUAUUKUWURGURRGRGRGAAUCUCUGCUUCGGGUGGUGCYYUCCMAYYAWRURAUAACCCCCCCACUUUUCCUUUUUCUCGCUUAGGUCGCAAGCAUAAUGAUUUUAUAUGAC